rnacentral:lncRNA from 1 species
CAUGAUAUUUAUUGGCUGAACCUUUGGAUGCCGUACAAACCUUAGAUUUGUAGAGUAACAAUUUUUGUAGCGAGCAUUUUUUUAUUAUUUUGUUAGUUCCCUCAAUCAUAUUUUUACGAGGUUUAACACAACUAAAAGAAUUGAGGGAGAUGCUAACCUAUAUGAAAGUUAUAAUUAAGAGGUAAGUAAAUCUUAUAAUUGUUUUUGGAAUUGGUAAUGUAUUUCUUCAAUAGUUAAUGACUU